CAGAGUUCAUGCCCCUAGGGGUAGAUCUCCCACCCUAUGUUAUUAUUACUUUGUUGCUUUGGCGGGCCGUUAGGCUUCGGCCCAACUACCGGCUCUAGCUGGUAAGCGCCCGCCAGAGGACCCCAAACUCUGAAUAUUAGUGUCGUCUGAGUACUAUAUAAUAGUUA
rnacentral:misc_RNA from 1 species